UGACCUCGAAUCAGGUAGGACUACCCGCUGAACCUCACCAUAUCAAUAAGCAGAGACGACAUCGGU
rnacentral:rRNA from 1 species